rnacentral:misc_RNA from 1 species
CUAUCCGCCCUCUAGAGGGAAAUCUCUGAAUGUCGGCAUCCAUUUUGGAUUUCAUCUCCGUUUGAGUAUGGAAAAGAAAUGUUGUGUCAAGAAUUGCCGCACUAACUCGGGAAAAAAUACCAAGGACAUUUUAUUCUUCAACUUUCCAAAAGCUCAGAAUCAAAGGAAAGAGUGGGAAAAAGCCAUAAACGUGAGAUGUUUUAAAUCCAAUAAUGCCACACUGCUGUGCUCCCGCCACUUCCUUGAAAACAACUUUCACGCGAUUCGCGGUCGAUCAGUGUUGAAAAAAAAUGCAGUGCCAUCGUUGGAAUUAAAUCCAAAGCCCGAGAAGGAGAAGGCACGGUUGUGUGUAAAGAAGCAAGUGGCAAAAGAGACGAAAAAGGGAGAGAAAAAGAAUUUGGAAAAGGGCACCAUACCAAACCAAAAGACAGCACCGUGUGAAGCAAAAGAGACGAAACCGGUAGAGAAAAAGAACUUGUCAAAAUGUUUAGUUUGCCAGCAACCAGUUGCUUUCAUGUACGAGUUUCUCACCGACGCUCACGCCCACAGAGCAUUUGCCUUGAAGAAAUUCAUCUGUGGUCAUUGCCUCCAUGAGUUUGAGAGCUUCAGCGACAUGAUGUCGCAUGUCACUAGCCUUGGAUCGGCUAAGGAGUAUGUGCCUGACAGAAGUGAAGUAGCACCAGUUCCUCGAAUGGCUCCACGUCGAGAGUAUCCUUGUCCACAGUGCAAUGCUGUCUUUGGAACCACUAUGGCAAGACUCUAUCACGAAGUUACUCAUACUGCUGUAAGUGAGGAAGAUUUCUGCAAGCAGCUGAAGCUCAAGGCAAAUGUUGUGGAUGCAUAUGAGGAGAGUACUACCAACAGGCGUGAGAAGACUGCUGCCAGGAAGCCACUACUAGCGGGGAGACGACGUAAGAUUCUUGCUGCUGAUCCAUCUGAAAUCUGUUUUGAUGAACCACAAGAGAAAAGAAAAUCUCAGUCUCCUGAGCAUGAACAAGAAACAAAAAAGCUGUGCAGGGCAAACACCCCAACUGGUAGAAAGCAGUUGAAUACCCUCAGUUCAUUAUCACCGCAGAGGAAACAGGAGCUUGUGUCAAUAGUUUACUGUAAUUGGUGUGAACAGAAAUUCAUGAGCCUAAGGCUUUUGGACAAGCACUAUUGGUCUCAGCACCCAAACAUGGACAUCCCUUUGGACCUUGCUUUCGAGGUGGGCAGUGGGGAUGUGACACCCAGACUGACACCGUGCUCAGCGUGUGCUAAACGGACUGCAUGUGUAAAAGCCAUACAAAAAUUGCUUGAUGAAGCUGUAACUGAUGUUGAAACAAUACCCUGAGAUUGCCACUGUGCUCUUAUUUUUAAAUAGCGUUGAAAAAAUGUCAGGCUGGUGGAAAGAGGAGCAACUUUGUCAUAAUUGCAUUGCUCAUUACUCUGUGGUUGUCUGUUGCUUGUCUCCUUGACUUAGCUGCCCUUUCUGUGCAAGUUCUGUGCAUGGCCAGUUUACACUCACUGAACCUGUAUCACAGCAGCAACAGCAGUGAAGUGUGUGUCUGGGCAUCCUGCCAGCUUAUGUCCUCUAAUCUAAAAAAAACGGCCCCAAUAAAAUGGCUAAUGUUGUUGGUGCUUGUAAAGCUGGAUUUGUUUGUUGUGACAUGUAGAAGGCUGUUAGGGUUCAACAUAAUGAACUGUGGAAUGUUGAAUCUUCAUUGAAAAGUGCAAUGACAGAAAGCUCUUCCAAAUGCUGCAGAUGUGGUAUUGAAGAUGUCACACAUUUGAAUUAUGAAUUGGUUGUCAAAACACCGCACCUCACACAAGUUUGUGCGGAACUUGCAUGUCUUGGUCUGGAUGUGUUGUCCAGUGCAUAUUUAUGCAAGACUGAGGGCAUUAUUGUACUUUCUUUGUUUUGUGCUUUGAAACACUACAAAAUUGCAGCCAGAAGUAGAGUAGUUUGCAUGAUGAACAGUUUACAUGUGGCUUACAUGAUGAACAUAGGCUAUGUUGCAUGAAUAAAGCUGUGUUGCUAUUGGAUAUGGUUAAGAGCUAAUGUACAAAAUAAUAAGAAUAAAUGUAAUAGUAUACAAGAAUGUUAGGUAUUUUACAUUUCUAACUACAAAACGAUGCAUAACUCCUUUCAUGUACUGACCUACAUCAUGGCCCUCGGUUUUAAUAGAAAUAAACUUCAGUUUGUUUGCAUUUACAGUGCUCAUGGCAUUUCAAAUUAGUUCAUUCUUUCUCACUAAGUGCACAAUGUCUUGGAAAUAACCUGUCUUGGUAACUUCAGGCAUAGGAAAAUUCAUGUUAAGUUAUUCUCCUGAAUAAGCUAAUGUAAAUACUCUUCUUUCUUGUGCACAUUACUUUUAAGGGAUUUUGAAUUGCAGUGUCCUGAGCAUUGUGUCCAGUACCAAAUGACAGCUGCUCAUUGUGACCAGAAGCAUUAAAGAAAACAGACAAAUUAAGGUUUUGUUUAGUUAUGAGAAAUGUUUUCCAAAAGCACAUCAUAAAGAAAAUUUUGUCUACUCUUGAGCAUGUAGGGCCUCAUGAUUGUGCUGUGCAAUUUUUAUUUGACAACGUUGUGGCCAUUCCACAACCCUGUGCCCCCUCUCUCGUCAUCAUACUAUGCCAUUACGAGAUGCACUGUCUAAAGAGCCCACCUUGAGUCUUACCAUGGUACAUAUAUCUGGCAGUGUCUUGGCGAGCGAGUCUGUUCUGUUAACCCAUAGUGAAAUGUUUAGAGCAUGGGUUUUCUUUUGUUCCUAAUUAUUAUUCAGUGUUUCUUCAAUUCAUACACCUGACCUUGAGAUGUGCAUAUUAUGCAUCAGAGAUCUUGAUUGUGUGUAUGCUCACGGCUACCUCCCUAGCUUACGAGAGAGAUGUGCUAGGGCAUGCACAUGAUGCUUCUGUGAGAGAGGCAAAAGAACUUUUAGGCUUGGCACAAAGGUAAAUGUCUGCUUUCUCGUUUAACUGACGAGUAGAGCCUAAAUUUUUUUACUGGUACUUACUGUACAUAUACGGUAGCUGACGGAAUGGCAUCAUCAUGACUGACAUAACAUAAGCACGGUGGCUGCAAACUUUGUAAACAUGUGAUCCAUUUAUCUCGGUGCUUCAAAAGCCGAAGUCAGGAAUAGUGCUUUAGUCCCAAGUUUGCGACUUCAAAUUUGCUGUGCAUGGGAAAUGAGGGACACUGUCCCAUGUUGUAGGCAUUCAUUUUUUAGGCAGUCAACAAAUUUUAAUAAUAAACGGCCUUUUUGGUACAGUAGCGUCGGUACCGACAACUUUGUGGAUUGAAUUGUGAACCUAUCAUUUAGUGUCGCAGUUGGAGGAAUGCCAAAACAAGACUGUAGUGUUGACGUGUGGGGGGCACAUGUGGUUACCUCUCGGAGCAAUCCUGCUUGAUCAUUAUUAGUGUAACGAAAAAAAAUGCAGGCCCAACAUUUCUUUGGAGGCUUGCAGCACCAACAUUGCAGCCACUGGUUUCACUAUAUGCCUUCCUUCUUUUCUUCCUCUAUUCUGUUCAUGCCCUUGACCACCUUUUCACGCACUGUGCUAAAUGUCUGCUUUUAGCAUGAAUUGUUUGAUGGAAUGAGCGCUUCUUGAAUAUGUUUCCUCAUGAUACCACCUUCUGCUAUCACAAUGUUAUUAGCUUGUACAAAUAAAGACAAAAAACAAUUUUUGAAGAGAGAA